UACGAAGGGGGCUAGCGUUGCUCGGAAUUACUGGGCGUAAAGCGCACGUAGGCGGAUUGUUAAGUCGGGGGUGAAAUCCUGGAGCUCAACUCCAGAACUGCCUUCGAUACUGGCGAUCUCGAGUCCGGAAGAGGUGAGUGGAACUCCUAGUGUAGAGGUGGAAUUCGUAGAUAUUAGGAAGAACACCAGUGGCGAAGGCGACUCACUGGUCCGGUACUGACGCUGAGGUGCGAAAGCGUGGGGAGCAAACAGG
rnacentral:rRNA from 1 species